rnacentral:lncRNA from 1 species
CAAAAGUAUUAUUGGGACCCCAUUCAUGACAAUGUGGUGCGUUUACAUUGGAAGAAGACAAUGAUGUCGUUGAUCUCCAACUUCAUCAGCAAGCGCAAGCGGAGUGGCAAGAUACCUCCAUUCAUGAGUUCAGAGCACUGGGGUGCUUUGCAAACAUAUUGGGGUACUGAACCUGCUAGAAAGAAAAGCAAGUCUGCUUCUGAAAGCCGCUGCUCAGAUCAAGGAGGUCUAGGUCAACACAUCCACACUGCUGGUUCGACACGAUUUAUGAAGAUCAAAUAUGAUACGGUAAAUAUGAAUGUUAAGUUUUAAAAGUUACUCCCUUGUAGUUAUAUCACUAUUAAAUCUCUCGCUAAUACAUUAACUUUAUUUACAUGGUGGUUAGAUGGUUGCUAAUGGUGGGAUUGAACCCUCGUUGAUUGAUCUUGUGAGAAAGACCCAUACUCGGAAAGAUGGCACAUUUGCAGAUGGUCGUGCAAAGAAAAUUGUAGAAGAUGUUGAAGCUGCAGUGACCCAUUCUGAAGGACUUGGCGUGGGGGGGUCUGCUGCAACAACACCAUCACCGCAACAACUUGAUAAGUUUUUUUAUUGAGGUAAAUGGCUUGUAACUAAUUAAGUUUAAAACUUCAUUGUGGUUAUUUGAUUGACACAAUUUUUUUAAUAGGCUGUCCCACCUUACAAAGGGCGUGUUUAUGGCCUUGGCUCUGCUCAUUGUUAUUAUGGUGAUUCCACGCCUUCCACCUCAACUGCUAUCCCACGCACAAUGCAAUUGGAGACAAGGGUGACUUUCAGCGAAGGCAACAUGAGUUCCAUGCAAGGUAGCAUCAACUCCAUGCAAGGUAACAUCAACUCCAUGGCCACAGAGAUUGCUGCUAUCAUGGAAGCCUCACGAAUGCUACUGGAGGCAAAUGGGAUUGAUCCAUCAGUUGUCCUCAAAUCAACAACUACUAAUCCAGCGGAGCCAGCGCAGGAAGCAACUCCGGAGCAGCAGUCACCAACUUUAAACCGCCAAACACAAGCUCCUGCUACCACUCCGAUCAACUUGGGGGACAUGGAACCUCAGUCUUUUGGUGGAUACUUUGAGAAUGAUCUCAACCAGUAGCAUUAUGCUUAAUUUUGUUUUUGUAUUAAAUAGGACUAACGGCAUAUUGAGCGUAUGAAAUGCUCUCUUUUGGUAGAACAUAUUAACUGGUCUUUUUUUAGUAGAACAUAUUAAUGUUCUUUGUUUGGUAUUAGAACAUGUGAAAGUUCUUUGUAUGCUAGAACAUAUGCAUGUUCUGUUUCUGUAAGAAUAUAUGAAUGUCUGUUUGUAUGACUUCGUUUUAAUUAGAAAUAUUUCGGAUAUUAAUAUUUUGUUUUCUAAUUAUUUUUUGUUAUUUGAAAAUUUAUUGGUUGAUAUUAAAUUACAAUUUUACAUUUUUUAAUGUUUUAGUUUGCCACGAAAAUUGACACAUUUCAUAAGUGGCUGUUAGUUAGGGAAUAUUCCGUUGCUAUAUUGUGGUAAAUCUGCUAGGAAUUUUUCGUAGCCAAUUCAUGGCAAAUAGCUAAGGAUUUAACGAGGCAAAAGCGUGGUGAUAAUCGUGGCAUUUAGCCAGGGACUAAACAAUGGCUUAUUCAUAGCUAAUAGCCACGUUCACAAGCCUUGGCAAAACCGCCGCAUAGGCCACGGACAGCUACGGCCUCCACUUUAGCAACGAUCGUAUAUCAACGAAAAAUAAUCGUGGCCUUACGUGGCGAUUUUCAUUUUAGCCAGAGAUGUGAUCCUUUAGCCACACCAAUUUCCCUGGCCAUCCGAUACAUUUCUUGUAGUGUUUGUGGCCAAAACCAAAUUAAGUUGUAGUUUAAAGAUUUAUUGGAUUCUUUAUCUUCCAUUACAUCAGAUUCAUCACCGUUAAAUGCUUUGAAAUCUUCUCAGAGCUCUCUUGCUUAAUCAGAGAAGAGAUUAUUAAUAGAUAUUACCGUCUUUACUUCGCAGCGGGAUGGCUUCACCAAAAUGGAAUCGAGCUGAAACACAGUCUGGAAACUCAAAUUCCUAAUGGCGACACCUGCAUCACCAUCGGCUGUAUCCAAAGCAGGCAUUGUAUCCAAAGAAGCCAGUGCCGUCCUAAUGUAAGUUGUAACCAGGUCUUAUUUUCCUCUCUAAUUUCAAUGUAAAACUAAAUAUUUGAUUUCUGUAGAAUUUGAUUAGUGAUUAAGGUGAGGCUUGAGGAGUAUUGAAUAUUGAUCGCACAACGACUAGAUUGUUCUACUUCAUGUGAUAGUUUAGUUGGAUCAUGUUAUACGCUUUUGAGUAUAACCAUUUACAAGAACCUACUGCUAAUGUAGUGGUGUCUUUUUAAAUUAGUUCCGCCUCCCUCUGUACUUAAAGCACAUCAAUUAAACAUUUGAUGACUUUUUUCAAUGAAUUUUUUUUUAUAUUUUAAUUUGCUUUUUUAGUAAAAGAUUGUGGUAGCUAUAUAAAAUUGAUUUCAAUAUUUAUGUGUUGAAUGGGACGGUGUGAUACUAGGUGUGGAUACCCGAGCAACUGAAGGGCCCAUUGUUUUCUGAUAAGAAUUAUGAGCAAAUUCACUUAAGGGUACCAAACAUAUAUUGAUGUGGGGUUGAACAGUGCAUUCCAAGUUAUGAAGAGAUACAAUAAUGUACUGUUUGAUGGAAGCUCAAUGAAACUAGAGAUUUUGGGUGGAAAUAUGAAGGAUGCUUUUUUUGCAAGCUCGUGUUAAUGCAACUGGAAUGAACGAAAGGAUGAAGAGGACUGAUUCCAUUGAGGAUGUCUUGCUAUUUAAUUUGUCCUUUUUCCACUUACGAAAGAAAACUGAAGUUUGUGACUCUAUACAUGCCACUGAUUAUAGAAAACAAUGAGUUAGAGGCGGGAGAGGCAGACUAGAAAGAUUUGCAACUUCUCCUUUGAGACGCUUUCCAAUGUAAGUAUUAUUGACUCUGAGUACACUUUCAUAUAAACUAUGUGGCGGUUUCCAUCUUCUAAUCAUAUUAUAUUUAGUGGCAGCCAAAACCAACAAGGUGUUGUGAGAAGCGAGGUGGUAGAGGCAGAGGCCAAGCUGAUGGUGGCAAAGGGAAUAAUGGCCCAGCUGGAGAUUGUCGUCCCUAAAAAUUUGCUAGAAAAUGAAAUAAAGAUCUCGGACAUGGACGUGCAGGAUAACAAUAGCAGUAGGAUUUUUACAGUUGCGGAUCCUCACGUAAACACGCUCAUGUCUGUUUAGGAGCAUCCGGAGCUAAAGCCGCUGUUGGUCAGACUUAUGCAACAAUCUUUUUCUGUAACUACGAGGUAUUUCCGCUUGAGUCAAGAGGUUAGAGGCUGCAACGAGUGUAUGACAGGAUACAAGGUGAUAAUUGUGCUACGAGAUAUCAGUGGGUUACUAACUAAUCAUACGACAGGGAAAAAGCCUCAUCGUUAAGAAAAUUUGCGCCGACCACCAGAGGAGUCAAGAAGCCUCACGUCCCGGAACCGCUGCUCUUCGUGAGAUUGAUUAUAAAAUAAAAUACCAGAAGAGUACAGAGCUGUUGAUCCGUAAAAUUUUAUUAAAUUUGAAGACAGUUAAAUUUACGUUAAUGUAUUUCAAUAAUUUUAAGAAAAACAAGGCAUAUUUUCAUAUUUUCAUAUUAAGAUCUAUAUGUAUAAAAAUAUGUUCGCUUCACUCCUGUUGCGCCACGUCAUAAAGUCGGUUCCUGACAGGCCGACACGUGUCCGGGUUGGAUGAUACUCACCGUUUCACUUAAGCACAAUUAUUAAUGGGCUUUUCUCUUUUUGUUAAUAAAUAUUUCAGAUCAGUGAUUUGGGCUUAACAUAAUUGGGUUUCUGGGCUCUAGGGUAACAUAUGAGGGGGUCCCACAUGAGACGGCUUCUUCUCCAAAAAUAAUGUCGACGAACGAAAGACAGAUCUACUGCGUUUUAACAACUCCGGUUCAAACCUACGGCCAAUGAGGAUUUGCUGCACCGGCCACGCUGAAUUCCGAUCAAGGUCAGUUGGAAGGCGUCGUAUUUGGCUGUUCGAUUCCACUUCUUCUACCCUUGGUUGAAUUUUCCUCAUCAAAUUUAAAAUAUUUUUUUUUAUUAAAUCGAGCAUGCAAUCUAACUUACCAUGUAAAUUUAUUAACAAAACAAUAAUGUAUUUCAAUAAUUUUAAGAAAAACAAGGCAUAUUUUCAUAUUUUCAUAUUAAGAUCUAUAUGUAUAAAAAUAUGUUCGCUUCACUCCUGUUGCGCCACGUCAUAAAGUCGGUUCCUGACAGGCCGACACGUGUCCGGGUUGGAUGAUACUCACCGUUUCACUUAAGCACAAUUAUUAAUAAAUAAAGAUUUAUUGUAUGUUUAUAUUUUAAAUGGGAUGAAUAAGCUGUUGAUUUAGGUAAUUAUUCGGUAUCAAAAAUCAGAAAACCCAUAUUGGCACAUCACCACAGCUGAAUUCGAGAAACUCAUCCGUAGAAUUAAUCAAGGAGAUUAAUGACAAACUAAGCAAACAAAUGGUGGAGAGGAAAUAGGGAGAGCUGAAAAAAUUGAGAGUUGUACAUUUGGACAGCUGAAAAAAAAUAGAAAGCAUUCUACAGCCUCGCCAUUAAAAAAGUUAUACUACUUGCACCACGAAAUGAAUUCAUCGUAAUCAAUGCUUACACUAUUUUCCAUACUGAUGGGAUCUUGAGAAGGUAUCUCAGAUAUUAGAAACUCUUCAAGAACAUAAUAAACAUUAUAUGCGGUUGAGUACUUUUUUUUUGUUUUUUUUUUGGAAUACACGGAUAUGUAUUCACAUAAUUCUCACUUAAUGUCAAUCAAAAAAGAAGAUUAUGUCAUGGUACAGACAUACAUACAAACGGAAUAUACAAUUACAUCACAAAAAGAAGAAGAAGCAUGAAUUACUUUAGGAAUGACUUCAAGUUUUGAGUCAUAUUCGGAAAAAAAAACCCUUAAAUAAGUUAGUUUAAUUAAGAAUAUUAUAAAACAAAACAUUUGAAUUAAAAUAAAUAUUAAAAAUAUAAUGUUAUUUAUCAGAGAAUAGUGAAAUUUACUGUCAUUAUAAUUCAAAACAAAAAAACUAAAAAAAAAAUUUCCUAUAUUUUGCAAAAUCAAUCUUAACUCAUGGAUAAAAUUAUGUGUGGCUCGCUCACGUGUUAUUGGCAAAACCGGAUUGACAACUAUACAAAAAAAGACUACCUACAAUAUUAUAAAAAAAAGAAAAAAUUGCCAAAACACCACGGAAAAACAACUAUAUUGUCUCUUUACCAUAAAUCCUUUUUUUGGUCGGAUUUGGACUUAGAUCCCCCUGACCAAUUUCAAAAAUUCAUAUCAAUUAUUUUAAGAAACAGAAAAAUAUGAAAAAUUAUUCAAAAUGUACAUAAACAUGAAACAAUCAUAUGAAAAAUAAUUUGGUUGACUAAAUAUUAGUGAAACACAAUUUCAUAUUUUGAUCUACGGAUAGUAGAAAACAAAAUCUACUAACUACGGAUAUGUAGAUCGUAGUUUCGGUUAACUACAUAGAUAUCUGGCGCUUUCAGAUUUUAAAAUCUACGAUUCGGUAAUCUGUCUACUAUCGCAGAAAGAAAAGGUUACGGUUUUACUUACGAUUUGAACGACGAAAGAUUUCACGAACUAAUGUUUCCUAUAUAUCUACUGGCUGAAAAUCACAGAAUCUGCCAGUUACUAAUAAUCUAGCAUGGUAACAUUUUGUUAUCUACUAAGAUACUAUAUCCUAUCUCUACCGGAUUAUACAGUCUAUCGUCAUAUCUACCAUCAUAUAUAAAAUCUACUGGCAGCAGAAUGCAUGUUCUCCCAAAUUCGUAAUCUUUUGGAAAAUAUUCCUAAAAUUUCUCCAAAAUCUGUUAAAAAAUAUUCUGUAAAUCUUUAUUUUCCCAAAUUUUACGUGUUUCCUAAAGUUAUUUUUUUUUAAAUAACCGUGAUCUCUCUUCCUCUUCACAAGUUCUUGAUUAAUUUUGAAACCACUCCAAAAAUUUGAAUCCCUUUUUGAAGAACAUGCAUAUAUAUGCCUCUUGUGGGGUGUGGAAAUUUGAUCCCAGUAAAGAAUGGGGAUUUGCUUUUGAUAAGGAAAAAGGAGGUAGAGUACUGGCUGUGGAAUUGACAAGUUCCUUUGAAUAUCUAAGGACUACGGCGUUUGAGGAUUUUGGAAUUGACCAAAACGAUGUCCAGCUUGAGUUAAGCUACUUACCUAUGGAGUUAAUCAGUACGAUAGGCUGUCCCCCAGUUAUCAUUGGGAAUGAUUGGCAAGUCAAAAAGGAUUGAAGGUUUAAGAUAUUGACAAAUGUCUAACUGACGAUUGUACUUCAAUCUACACCUCUGACUGGAGGGUAGCCUGGUACAAUUAUAGCAUGGUCUCUGAUGAGAUGAAACUUACCUGGUGGGGAGACUUUGUGGUGAGAGUUUUAUGUUACUUCUGUUAGAUUUUUAUGACAUUCUCAUAUUAAUAUAUAUUAUUCUGAUUGCAUAAUCCUUUUCUGUUUCAUUGCAGCAAAAGUAUUAUUGGGACCCCAUUCAUUACAAUGUGGUGCGUUUACAUUGGAAGAAGACAAUGAUGUCGUUGAUCUCCAACUUCAUCAGCAAGCGCAAGCGGAGUGGCAAGAUACCUCCAUUCAUGAGUUCAGAGCACUGGGGUGCUUUGCAAACAUAUUGGGGUACUGAACCUGCUAGAAAGAAAAGCAAGUCUGCUUCUGAAAGCCGCUGCUCAGAUCAAGGAGGUCUAGGUCAACACAUCCACACUGCUGGUUCGACACGAUUUAUGAAGAUCAAAUAUGAUACUAAGUCUGAACUUGUCUGAACUUGCUAAAGAUGUGCUU